AUGCAGAAGCAGACGGGCAAGUCCGGUGGAGGCGGCGGUUCCGCCGCGGCCAAGCGCGGUCGCCCGUUCGGAAGCACCACCGGAAGCGGGGCUGCAGCCGCGGCCGCCGCGGCCGCCGUCGGCGACCCGGCGGCGCCGGCCGCCCUCGUCGGACCUUCCCUCCAUGUCCUCACGGCUCUCUCCGAUCAGAACAAUAAAAGAAUCGUCCUUGCAUUGCAAAGUGGGUUGAAGAGUGAGAUACUAUGGGCAUUGAACGCCCUCACUGUACUCUCUUUUAAGGAAAAGGAUGACCUCCGACGGGAUACAACACCUCUUGCUAAAGUUCCUGGGCUAUUGGAUGCCCUCCUUCAAGUUAUUGAUGACUGGCGAGAUAUUGCAAUGCCUAGGGACCAUACAAAACCACCAAGAGUAAGAACUUUGGGUGUCAAUACAACAAUCUCAGGAUUUGGUCUUGAAAACGUUGGGAAAGUAUACUCGGACAGCACCACUCCUCCAAAUGAUCAAUCAAAGAUAGAGGGCUCCACUAUCACAAAGAGGAGAUCUGCAGGAUUUUUGUUUGAUGAAGAUGGUCUUUUUAAUAUUGAUGAUGAAGGGCGGACAGAGAGGCAACAGUGUGCUGUUGCGGCCUCCAAUAUAAUCCGCAAUUUUUCUUUCAUGCCAGAAAAUGAGACUAUCAUGGUCCAGCAUAGACAUUGCUUGGGGACUAUAUUUCAGUGCUUAGAAGACCAAAAUGCAGAAGACGAUGAGCUCAUAACAAACAUGCUGGAGGCCCUUGUUAAUUUAGCACCUGUGCUGGACCUGAGAAUCUUGAGCUCGUCAAAGCCAUCAUAUAUUAAAAUGACUGAGAAAAGCGCAGUUCAUGCCAUAAUGGGCAUGCUUUCCUCUUCAAUAAAAGCAUGGCAUUGUGCUGCUGCUGAAUUGAUUGGGCGGCUGAUAAUCAAUCCAGACAAUGAAUCGUUUCUUGUUCCUGUGAUUUCACAGAUAUACAGGAGGUUAGUUGAUCUGUUGAGCGUGCCAGCAUUUGAUGCACAGGCUGCUGCUGUUAGCGCCCUCUACAACGUAUCAGAAGUGAACAUGGAUUGUAGGCUGAAGCUGGCUAGUGAGCGAUGGGCUGUGGAUAGGCUUCUAAAGAUCGUGAAGGCACCACACCCUGUGUCGGAGGUCUGUAGGAAAGCAGCGGUGAUACUGGAGAGCCUUGUCUCGGAGCCUCAAAACAGGAUGCACCUCCUGGUUCACGAGAAUAACUUUGCUGAGAUCCUAACGUCGGAAGGGAAAUACUCCGACACGUUUGCUCGGAUUCUGUACGAGCUGACUGCGAGACCGAGCAACAAGGUGACGUCUGGGCAAGCUAUCUGGGGAAACAUAAACUGA
rnacentral:rRNA from 1 species